UAAUACGAACCGUACAAACGUUAUUCGGAAUCACUGGGCUUAAAGGGUGCGUAGGCGGCCAUGUAAGUGAGGUGUGAAAUCCCUCGGCUCAACCGAGGAACUGCGCUUCAUACUGCAUGGCUUGAGGGAGACAGGGGUAAGCGGAACUGAUGGUGGAGCGGUGAAAUGCGUUGAUAUCAUCAGGAACACCGGUGGCGAAAGCGGCUUACUGGGUCUCUUCUGACGCUGAGGUACGAAAGCUAGGGUAGCGAACGGGAUUAGAUACCCCGGUAGUCCUAGCUGUAAACGAUGAGCACUUAUCUGGGGAUCCUCCCAUAGGUUCUCGGAUGAAGCGAAAGUGUUAAGUGCUCCGCCUGGGGAGUAUGGUCGCAAGGCUG
rnacentral:rRNA from 1 species